rnacentral:rRNA from 1 species
CACAUGCAAGUCGAGGGGCAGCAUGGUCUUAUCUUGCUAAGGCCGAUGGCGACCGGCGCACGGGUGAGUAACACGUAUCCAACCUGCCGUCUACUCUUGGACAGCCUUCUGAAAGGAAGAUUAAUACAAGAUGGCAUCAUGAGUCCGCAUGUUCACAUGAUUAAAGGUAUUCCGGUAGACGAUGGGGAUGCGUUCCAUUAGAUAGUAGGCGGGGUAACGGCCCACCUAGUCUUCGAUGGAUAGGGGUUCUGAGAGGAAGGUCCCCCACAUUGGAACUGAGACACGGUCCAAACUCCUACGGGAGGCAGCAGUGAGGAAUAUUGGUCAAUGGGCGAGAGCCUGAACCAGCCAAGUAGCGUGAAGGAUGACUGCCCUAUGGGUUGUAAACUUCUUUUAUAAAGGAAUAAAGUCGGGUAUGGAUACCCGUUUGCAUGUACUUUAUGAAUAAGGAUCGGCUAACUCCGUGCCAGCAGCCGCGGUAAUACGGAGGAUCCGAGCGUUAUCCGGAUUUAUUGGGUUUAAAGGGAGCGUAGAUGGAUGUUUAAGUCAGUUGUGAAAGUUUGCGGCUCAACCGUAAAAUUGCAGUUGAUACUGGAUAUCUUGAGUGCAGUUGAGGCAGGCGGAAUUCGUGGUGUAGCGGUGAAAUGCUUAGAUAUCACGAAGAACUCCGAUUGCGAAGGCAGCCUGCUAAGCUGCAACUGACAUUGAGGCUCGAAAGUGUGGGUAUCAAACAGGAUUAGAUACCCUGGUAGUCCACACGGUAAACGAUGAAUACUCGCUGUUUGCGAUAUACUGCAAGCGGCCAAGCGAAAGCGUUAAGUAUUCCACCUGGGGAGUACGCCGGCAACGGUGAAACUCAAAGGAAUUGACGGGGGCCCGCACAAGCGGAGGAACAUGUGGUUUAAUUCGAUGAUACGCGAGGAACCUUACCCGGGCUUAAAUUGCAGAUGAAUUACGGUGAAAGCCGUAAGCCGCAAGGCAUCUGUGAAGGUGCUGCAUGGUUGUCGUCAGCUCGUGCCGUGAGGUGUCGGCUUAAGUGCCAUAACGAGCGCAACCCUUGUUGUCAGUUACUAACAGGUUCCGCUGAGGACUCUGACAAGACUGCCAUCGUAAGAUGUGAGGAAGGUGGGGAUGACGUCAAAUCAGCACGGCCCUUACGUCCGGGGCUACACACGUGUUACAAUGGGGGGUACAGAGGGCCGCUACCACGCGAGUGGAUGCCAAUCCCCAAAACCUCUCUCAGUUCGGACUGGAGUCUGCAACCCGACUCCACGAAGCUGGAUUCGCUAGUAAUCGCGCAUCAGCCACGGCGCGGUGAAUACGUUCCCGGGCCUUGUACACACCGCCCGUCAAGCCAUGGGAGCCGGGGGUACCUGAAGUGCGUAACCGCGAGGAGCGCCCUAGGGUAAAACUGGUGACUGGGGCUAA